rnacentral:misc_RNA from 1 species
GUUUUCUCACACGCGAAUAUGUAGGGUGAUCAGCUCAACCCAGACCAUUUCAAAAAAUUUCAAAGAAAUUCGUAUCAAAUUUCUUCGUAGAACAAAAUAUAGGCUUCACUUUGAAGAACUUCUUCCAAUGGGACCUCUCGUACGUAGGCAUCACUGGCAUAAUACCACACAUAAUCUUCCGCGUCCUUGUCUUUCCCAGCGAUCUUUGGGCCUCCUCUAAUAUAUGCAACAUAGUGACCUCCUCUCAUAGUCCCUGAAUGUUCCACGACACCUAAAAGCCGGUACUUGUAAGCCUCCUUCUGCAAGCACCUGGGAUCAAUAAAGGUUGUGAGAUCAAUAGUAUCUCUGAAAUUCACGUGGCCACUCAGCUUACUUAAACGUCCGCGAGCAUCCUGGCUGAACCUCUUUAGAUGAAUUGUCAAAAUAGGAGGGGCUUUAUCAAUGAGUAUCCUUUUAAAUGCAUCUCUUUCCACUUUGAUACCUUUAGAAUUGGUCUCGUUCUCACUUUCUCCAGAUUCAUAAUAAGCAGAACCUUCAUCCAACUGAACUCCAUCGGUCUGACUAUCGCAAUUUACUAGACUACAAGCUUCUUCCUGACUUGAAUCUACCCCACCUUCUGACGGGUUAGAAACUGGAUCUUCAUCAGCUCUGUGGCUAGUUUCUGGCA